rnacentral:rRNA from 1 species
UACGUAGGGUGCAAGCGUUAAUCGGAAUUACUGGGCGUAAAGCGUGCGCAGGCGGCUUUGCAAGACAGAUGUGAAAUCCCCGGGCUUAACCUGGGAACUGCAUUUGUGACUGCAUAGCUAGAGUACGGCAGAGGGGGAUGGAAUUCCGCAUGUAGCAGUGAAAUGCGUAGAUAUGCGGAGGAACACCGAUGGCGAAGGCAGUCCCCUGGGCCUGUACUGACGCUCAUGCACGAAAGCGUGGGGAGCAAACAGA